UACGAAGGGGGCUAGCGUUGCUCGGAAUCACUGGGCGUAAAGGGUGCGUAGGCGGGUCUUUAAGUCAGGGGUGAAAUCCUGGAGCUCAACUCCAGAACUGCCUUUGAUACUGAGGAUCUUGGGUCCGGGAGAGGUGAGUGGAACUGCGAGUGUAGAGGUGAAAUUCGUAGAUAUUCGCAAGAACACCAGUGGCGAAGGCGGCUCACUGGCCCGGUACUGACGCUGAGGCACGAAAGCGUGGGGAGCAAACAGG
rnacentral:rRNA from 1 species